rnacentral:rRNA from 1 species
AGACUUGAGUGCAGAAGAGGACAGUGGAACUCCAUGUGUAGCGGUGGAAUGCGUAGAUAUAUGGAAGAACACCAGUGGCGAAGGCGGCUGUCUAGUCUGUAACUGACGCUGAGGCUCGAAAGCAUGGGUAGCGAACAGGAUUAGAUACCCUGGUAGUCCAUGCCGUAAACGAUGAGUGCUAAGUGUUGGAGGGUUUCCCCCUUCAGUGCUGCAGCUAACGCAUUAAGCACUCCGCCUGGGGAGUACGACCGCAAGGUUGAAACUCAAAGGAAUUGACGGGGGCCCGCACAAGCGGUGGAGCAUGUGGUUUAAUUCGAAGCUACGCGAAGAACCUUACCAGGUCUUGACAUCUUCUGCCAAUCUUAGAGAUAAGACGUUCCCUUCGGGGACAGAAUGACAGGUGGUGCAUGGUUGUCGUCAGCUCGUGUCGUGAGAUGUUGGGUUAAGUCCCGCAACGAGCGCAACCCUUAUUAUCAGUUGCCAGCAUUCAGUUGGGCACUCUGGUGAGACUGCCGGUGACAAACCGGAGGAAGGUGGGGAUGACGUCAAAUCAUCAUGCCCCUUAUGACCUGGGCUACACACGUGCUACAAUGGACGGUACAACGAGUCGCGAAGUCGUGAGGCUAAGCUAAUCUCUUAAAGCCGUUCUCAGUUCGGAUUGUAGGCUGCAACUCGCCUACAUGAAGUUGGAAUCGCUAGUAAUCGCGGAUCAGCAUGCCGCGGUGAAUACGUUCCCGGGCCUUGUACACACCGCCCGUCACACCAUGAGAGUUUGUAACACCCAAAGCCGGUGAGAUAACCUUCGGGAGUCAGCCGUCUAAGGUGGGACAGAUGAUUAGGGUGAAGUCGUAACAAGGUAC